rnacentral:rRNA from 1 species
AAUCAGGUAGGGCUACCCGCUGAACUUAAGCAUAUCAAUAAGCGGAGGAAAAGAAACUAAAUUAUAGAAACAAGGAUUCCCUUAGUAACGGCGAGCGAACCGGGAAGAGCUCAAAUUUGAAAUCUGGCGUCCUCAGGGCGUCCGAGUUGUAAUCUAUAGAGGCGUUUUCCGUGCCGGACCGUGUCCAAGUCCCUUGGAACAGGGUAUCAAAGAGGG